AGAGGCCCCAGGAGGAGCAGCUGGGGCAGCCCAGCCUCUCACUUCUGCUUCUCUGGGAGGUUUUUGUCAUGGCUUGUAUCACUGUAGAAGGAAAAUUAUAAUUCUGUUGACAGAAAUAAGUUGCCACAUCUUCAGUUUGCAGGCUGCUGAUGGCGAGAGUGAACUCUGUCCCAGAUCCACUGCCACUGAACCUUGGUGGGAACCCAGAUUGCAAAACAUCUGCAGCACUAAUC